rnacentral:rRNA from 1 species
CAAUAGCGUAUAUUAAAGUUGUUGCAGUUAAAAAGCUCGUAGUUGAACUUUGGGCUUGGAGAAUCGGUCCAACUUUGUUGUGUACUGUCUUCUCCAGGUCUUUCCUUCUGGUUCUCUUUUGGGGCUUGCUCCAUUAGUUGAUCCAGGAUUUUUACUUUGAAAAAAUUAGGGUGUUCAAAGCAGGCGUUUUGCUCGAAUAUAUUAGCAUGGAAUAAUAGAAUAGGACGAUUGGUUCUAUUUUGUUGGUUUCUAGGACCAUCGUAAUGAUUAAUAGGGACGGUCGGGGGCAUCAGUAUUCAGUUGUCAGAGGUGAAAUUCUUGGAUUUACUGAAGACUAACUACUGCGAAAGCAUUUGUCAAGGACGUUUUCAUUAA